UUCGGUUUUGGUUUUAAAAGGUUGAAAUCAAAUAAAUCAAACCGAACCGAACUAGUUCAAAUAAAAAAAUCAAUAAUACUAUAAAUACCUACUUUUCAACUUUCCCCUUCUCCUUUCUAAACCCUAGCCGCCAUCCAUGUUUCACAAUCUUCAUCUCUCAACACAGCCUCCACCUCAUCUUCACUCUCAACCUUUCUCGCCCAUGUUUCUCAAUUUUCAUUUCUCAGCACCGGCCCCCCCUCCCAUUUUCAUCUCUCGUCUCUCAUCUCUCAACCUUUCUCACAUCUCUCAAUCGUUCUCACAGCCCUCCAUCUUCAUCUCUCAACCUUUCUCACAGCCCUCCCUCAAUAUCUUCAUCUCUCAUCUCUCUCAACCUUUCUUUAAGGCUUUAAGUACAACACCCCCUCCUUCCCCAAAGUAGAUCUGUGACUUUUUUUUUUAGGCAUCGACAGUAACGAAGGAUAGAAGUGUGGACAUAUUACCACUGAUGCUUGCUACGUACCAGCGGAUUGCGAUUCAAGAUGCCGACUACAUGGGUUUAGUACAGGCACUUGUGUCGUCUUUGAUGGUCUUCAUAUUCCUAGUUCAGGUUGUUGCGCGCUGUGUCAAUCACAAAAAGGAUCUACCAUCGUAUGGGAGUCUCGUUCCAUUCCCAUCACCACCUUCAGCAAAUUAGCGGUGGCUAAUUUCUUGAAUAAAAAUAUCAUAGACAAUAAAUAAAUGAUGAUUUGUAGUCAAAUCAAAAUUAGUGUUCUCUUUUGAAUCUCUUCUUUGGAAAAUUAAAAAAGAAAAAAUUAUUCAAGAUACUAGACAUUUCUACCUAGGAUCAUUCUAAAAAUGACUACCG